CACCAGACUCCUACGGGAGGCAGCAGUGGGGAAUAUUGCACAAUGGGGGAAACCCUGAUGCAGCGACGCCGCGUGAGUGAAGAAGUAAUUCGUUGUGUAAAGCUCUAUCAGCAGGGAAGAAAAUGACGGUACCUGAGUAAGAAGCCCCGGCUAACUACGUGCCAGCAGCCGCGGUAAUACGUAGGGGGCAAGCGUUAUCCGGAUUUACUGGGUGUAAAGGGAGCGUAGACGGCGACGCAAGUCUGGAGUGAAAGCCCGGGGCCCAACCCCGGGACUGCUCUGGAAACUGCGUCGCUGGAGUACGGGAGGGGCAGGCGGAAUUCCUGGUGUAGCGGUGAAAUGCGUAGAUAUUAGGAGGAACACCAGUGGCGAAGGCGGCCUGCUGGACGAUAACUGACGGUGAGGCGCGAAAGCGUGGGGAGCAAACAGGAUUAGAUACCCCAGUA
rnacentral:rRNA from 1 species